AAAGUUCUAGAUGUUAAUUUAGUUACAAAAUCAUUGUUUUCCUGAGUUUUCCAUAUUCAUUUGAAUCAGACUUUUAAUACCUUAAAAAAAAAAACACACAGUCUUGCUGUGUUGCCUAGGCUGGUCUCUCAACUCCUGAGCUCAAGCGAUUCUCCCACUUCAGCCUCCCAAACUGUUGGGAUUAUAGGUGUGAGCCACUCUGCCCAGUUCAGACUUUUUGCAGAUUAUGUUUUUCCCCCACCAAGAUAACAAGAGCGGUCCUUAGUUCUUCUCUUUUUUUUUUUUUUUUUUUUUUUUUUGAGACAGAGUCUCUCUUUGUCGCCAGGCUGGAGAGCAGUGGCACCAUCUUGGCUCGCUGCAACCUCCUUUUCCCAGGUUCAAAUGAUUCUCCUGCCUCAGCCUCCUGAGUAGAUGGGACUACAGGCGCGCGCACCGCCAUGCCCAGCUAAUUUUUGUAUUUUUAGUAGAGACGGGGUUUCACCAUGUUGGCCAGGAUGGUCUCAAUCUCUUGACCUUGUGAUCUGCCCACCUCGGCCUCCCAAAGUGCUGGGAUUACAGGCGUGAGCCGCCGUACCCAGCCACCUUUGUUAUUAAUGAAAAGCUUUUCCCCUUCUAAUUUCUUAUCUGUGGAUUGAUAAUAGUGCCAUUCAUUUCACUUUGAGAAAUACGCAGAACUCAUUGUCCAGUGGUCACUGCUUUGUUAGAGUAUAAGUUAUUGGCCUCAAUAGUUUGUUCUCUGGUCUCCUCAGUUAAAAAGGACUUUUUUAUGGGUCUAAGACAGGCUAAAGGUAGUAUGUGGACUUUAAUAGAUACAUAUAUCCAACGGGCAAUAUUUGACACUAGGCAAGCUGAAGAAAGUGUGAAUUUUGAAUAUCUUA
rnacentral:lncRNA from 1 species